GACGAACGCUGGCGGCGUGCCUAAUACAUGCAAGUAGAACGCUGAAGGAGGAGCUUGCUCUUCUGGAUGAGUUGCGAACGGGUGAGUAACGCGUAGGUAACCUGCCUGGUAGCGGGGGAUAACUAUUGGAAACGAUAGCUAAUACCGCAUAAUAGUUGAUGUUGCAUGAUAUUUACUUAAAAGGUGCAAUUGCACCACUACCAGAUGGACCUGCGUUGUAUUAGCUAGUUGGUGGGGUAACGGCUCACCAAGGCGACGAUACAUAGCCGACCUGAGAGGGGGAUCGGCCACACUGGGACUGAGACACGGCCCAGACUCCUACGGGAGGCAGCAGUAGGGAAUCUUCGGCAAUGGACGAAAGUCUGACCGAGCAACGCCGCGGGAGUGAAGAAGGUUUUCGGAUCGUAAAGCUCCGUUGUAAGAGAAGAACGAGUGUGAGAGUGGAAAGUUCACACUGUGACGGUAGCUGACCAGAAAGGGACGGCUAACUACGUG
rnacentral:rRNA from 1 species